AUUGAACGCUGGCGGCAGGCCUAACACAUGCAAGUCGAACGAGUGGCGGACGGGUGAGUAAUGUCUGGGAAACUGCCUGAUGGAGGGGGAUAACUACUGGAAACGGUAGAUAAUACCGCAUACCAUCGGAUGUGCCCAGAUGGGAUUAGCUUGUAGGUGGGGUAACGGCUCCACUAGGAGUCGAUCCCUAGCUAGUCUGAGAGGAUGACCGGCCACACUGGAACUGAGCCACGGUCCAGACUACUAAGGGAGGCAGCAGUGGGAAAUAUUGCACAAUGGGGGCAAGCCUGAUGCAGCCAUGCCGCGUGUAGGAAGAAGGCUUUCGGGUUUGAAAGUACGUGCAGCGAGGAGGCGUUACUCGCAGAAGAAGCACCGGCUAACUCCGUGCCAGCCGCCGCGGUAAUAC
rnacentral:rRNA from 1 species